rnacentral:rRNA from 1 species
AUUGAACGCUGGCGGCAUGCUUUACACAUGCAAGCCGAACGGUAACAGGCCGCAAGGUGCUGACGAGUGGCGAACGGGUGAGUAAUGCAUCGGAACGUGCCCAGUCGUGGGGGAUAACUACUCGAAAGAGUAGCUAAUACCGCAUACGAUCUAUGGAUGAAAGCGGGGGACCGUAAGGCCUCGCGCGAUUGGAGCGGCCGAUGUCAGAUUAGGUAGUUGGUGGGGUAAAGGCUCACCAAGCCAACGAUCUGUAGCUGGUCUGAGAGGACGACCAGCCACACUGGGACUGAGACACGGCCCAGACUCCUACGGGAGGCAGCAGUGGGGAAUUUUGGACAAUGGGCGCAAGCCUGAUCCAGCAAUGCCGCGUGCAGGAAGAAGACCUUCGGGUUGUAAACUGCUUUUGUACGGAACGAAACGGCUCUGGUUAAUACCCGGGGCUAAUGACGGUACCGUAAGAAUAAGCACCGGCUAACUACGUG